AGUCGAGGGGUAUGCUUCUUCGGAAGCAGAGACCGGCGCACGGGUGCGUAACGCGUAUGCAAUCUACCUUUUACAGAGGGAUAGCCCAGAGAAAUUUGGAUUAAUACCUCAUAGUAUAGCUGAAUCGCAUGAUUCUACUAUUAAAGUCACAACGGUAAAAGAUGAGCAUGCGUCCCAUUAGCUAGUUGGUAAGGUAACGGCUUACCAAGGCUACGAUGGGUAGGGGUCCUGAGAGGGAGAUCCCCCACACUGGUACUGAGACACGGACCAGACUCCUACGGGAGGCAGCAGUGAGGAAUAUUGGACAAUGGGCGCAAGCCUGAUCCAGCCAUGCCGCGUGCAGGAUGACGGUCCUAUGGAUUGUAAACUGCUUUUAUACGAGAAGAAACACUGCUUCGUGAAGCAGCUUGACGGUAUCGUAAGAAUAAGGAUCGGCUAACUCCGUGCCAGCAGCCGCGGUAAUACGGAGGAUCCAAGCGUUAUCCGGAAUCAUUGGGUUUAAAGGGUCCGUAGGCGGUUUAAUAAGUCAGUGGUGAAAGCCCAUCGCUCAACGGUGGAACGGCCAUUGAUACUGUUAAACUUGAAUUAUUAGGAAGUAACUAGAAAUAUGUAGUGUAGCGGUGAAAUGCUUAGAGAUUACAUGGGAAUACCAAUUGCGAAAGGCAGGUUACUACUAAUGGAUUGACGCUGAUGG
rnacentral:rRNA from 1 species